GACGAACGCUGGCGGCGUGCCUAACACAUGCAAGUCGAACGGGGCAGAGAGCUACGGUUAUCUGCUUAGUGGCGAACGGGUGAGUAACGCGUGAGCAACCUGCCUAUUAGAGGGGAAUAACAGUGAGAAAUCAUUGCUAAUACCGCAUAUGCUCACAGUACCACAUGGUACAGUGAGGAAAGGAGCAAUCCGCUAAUAGAUGGGCUCGCGUCUGAUUAGCUAGUUGGUGGGGCAACGGCCUACCAAGGCGACGAUCAGUAGCCGGACUGAGAGGUUGAACGGCCACAUUGGGACUGAGACACGGCCCAG
rnacentral:rRNA from 1 species